CGGCGUGCCUAAUACAUGCAAGUCGAACGCACUCUCGUUUAGAUUGAAGGAGCUUGCUCCUGAUUGAUAAACAUUUGAGUGAGUGGCGGACGGGUGAGUAACACGUGGGUAACCUGCCCUAAAGUGGGGGAUAACAUUUGGAAACAGAUGCUAAUACCGCAUAAAACCUAACACCGCAUGGUGUAGGGUUGAAAGAUGGUUUCGGCUAUCACUUUAGGAUGGACCCGCGGUGCAUUAGUUAGUUGGUGAGGUAAAGGCUCACCAAGACCGUGAUGCAUAGCGACCUGAGAGGGUAAUCGGCCACACUGGGACUGAGACACGGCCCAGACUCCUACGGAGGCAGCAGUAGGGAAUCUUCCACAAUGGACGAAAGUCUGAUGGAGCAACGCCGCGUGAGUGAAGAAGGUUUUCGGAUCGUAAAACUCUGUUGUUGGAGAAGAAUGUAUCUGAUAGUAACUGAUCAGGUAGUGACGGUAUCCAACCAGAAAGCCACGGCUAACUACGUG
rnacentral:rRNA from 1 species